rnacentral:rRNA from 1 species
AGAGUUUGAUCAUGGCUCAGGAUGAACGCUGGCGGUAUGCCUAACACAUGCAAGUCGAACGGUGUCUUCGGACAUAGUGGCGGACGGGUGAGUAACGCGUGAGAAUCUGCCUUCAGGAUGGGGACAACAGUUGGAAACGACUGCUAAUACCCGAUAUGACGAAAGUUGAAAGAUUUAUCGCCUGGAGAUGAGCUCGCGUCAGAUUAGCUAGAUGGUGUGGUAAAGGCGCACCAUGGCGACGAUCUGUAGCUGGUCUGAGAGGAUGAGCAGCCACACUGGGACUGAGACACGGCCCAGACUCCUACGGGAGGCAGCAGUGGGGAAUUUUCCGCAAUGGGCGCAAGCUGACGGAGCAAUACCGCGUGAGGGAGGAAGGCUCUUGGGUCGUAAACCUCUUUUCUUAGGGAAGAACAAAAUGACGGUACCUAAGGAAUCAGCAUCGGCUAACUCCGUGCCAGCAGCCGCGGUAAUACGGAGGAUGCAAACGUUAUCCGGAAUGAUUGGGCGUAAAGCGUCCGUAGUGGUUUUGUAAGUCCGUGGUUAAAGCGCGAAGCUUAACUUCGUAAGGGCCAUGGAAACUACAAGACUUGAGUGAAGUAGGGGUAGAGGGAAUUCCCAGUGUAGCGGUGAAAUGCGUAGAGAUUGGGAAGAACACCGGUGGCGAAAGCGCUCUACUGGACUUAAACUGACACUGAGGGACGAAAGCUAGGGGAGCGAAAGGGAUUAGAUACCCUGUAGUCCUAGCCGUAAACGAUGGAUACUAGGUGUUGCCCGUAUCGACCCGGGCAGUGCCGUAGCUAACGCGUUAAGUAUCCCGCCUGGGAGU